rnacentral:rRNA from 1 species
AUUGAACGCUGGCGGCAGGCCUAACACAUGCAAGUCGAGCGGAUGAAGGGAGCUUGCUCCUGGAUUCAGCGGCGGACGGGUGAGUAAUGCCUAGGAAUCUGCCUGGUAGUGGGGGAUAACGUCCGGAAACGGGCGCUAAUACCGCAUACGUCCUGAGGGAGAAAGUGGGGGAUCUUCGGACCUCACGCUAUCAGAUGAGCCUAGGUCGGAUUAGCUAGUUGGUGGGGUAAAGGCCUACCAAGGCGACGACCCGUAACUGGUCUGAGAGGAUGAUCAGUCACACUGGAACUGAGACACGGUCCAGACUCCUACGGGAGGCAGCAGUGGGGAAUAUUGGACAAUGGGCGAAAGCCUGAUCCAGCCAUGCCGCGUGUGUGAAGAAGGUCCUCGGAUUGUAAAGCACUUUAAGUUGGGAGGAAGGGCAGUAAGUUAAUACCUUACUGUUUUGACGUUACCAACAGAAUAAGCACCGGCUAACUUCGUG